rnacentral:lncRNA from 1 species
CUAGCUCACGGAGACCUCCCUUGUGGCGUGAUUCAGUGACUUACCAAAGGGUAGCUGUCCAUUCACCCACAAUACGAUGCUCUUUGGUUUUUUGUUUUGUUUUUGUUGGAUUUUUAGCAGUCUCACUGUGGCCCUGGAUGCAUGGAGCUCACUGUGUAGUCCAGACUGCCUUUGAACCCACAGAAAUCUGCCUGCCUCUUCCCAGUGCGGGAGGUAAAGGUGUGUACCACCAUGCCUGUCAGCAUAUCCCACUCCUAAGAAUCCCAGGUAGUUCGUGGUUUUCGAGUUUUUAUUUUGUUUUAAACUAAUGAUUCAUCUACAGGUUUAAUAUCCACUGAUGUUAUUCAAAUUAUAAUGACUGCUGAAAGAUUGGGAGGGAAAGACCCGUCUUAAAUCACAGCGUCUGUUGUGUAAGACAGUGUGGUAAAAUAAA